CGUAGGGUGCGAGCGUUGUCCGGAAUUAUUGGGCGUAAAGAGCUUGUAGGCGGUUUGUUGCGUCAGAAGUGAAAACUCAGGGCUUAACCCUGAGCCUGCUUCUGAUACGGGCAGACUAGAGGAAGUUAGGGGAGAACGGAAUUCCUGGUGGAGCGGUGGAAUGCGCAGAUAUCAGGAGGAACACCGGUGGCGAAGGCGGUUCUCUGGGACUUUCCUGACGCUGAGAAGCGAAAGCGUGGGGAGCAAACAGGCUU
rnacentral:rRNA from 1 species